rnacentral:rRNA from 1 species
UACGUAGGGUGCAAGCGUUGUCCGGAAUCAUUGGGCGUAAAGCGCGCGUAGGUGGCUUCGUAAGUCCGUUGUGAAAGUCAAAGGCUCAACCUUUGAAUGCCGAUGGAUACUGCGAAGCUAGAGUACGGAAGAGGCGAGUGGAAUUCCUGGUGUAGCGGUGGAAUGCGCAGAUAUCAGGAGGAACACCAAUAGCGAAGGCAGCUCGCUGGGACGGUACUGACGCUGAGACGCGAAAGCGUGGGGAGCAAACAGG